rnacentral:rRNA from 1 species
CACCUGAUUCCCUAGUACGGCGAGUGAAGCGGGAAGAGCUCAAGCUUAAAAUCUCCGUGCAAGUUUUGCGCGGCGAAUUGUAGUCUAUAGAGGCGUGGUCAGCGUGGGCGCUUGGGGCAAGUUCCUUGGAAGAGGACAGCAUGGAGGGUGAUACUCCCGUUCAUCCCUGAGUGGCUCGUGCGUACGACCCGUGUUCUUUGAGUCGCGUUGUUUGGGAAUGCAGCGCAAAGUAGGUGGUAAAUUCCAUCUAAAGCUAAAUAUUGGUGCGAGACCGAUAGCGAACAAGUACCGUGAGGGAAAGAUGAAAAGAACUUUGAAAAGAGAGUUAAAGAGUACCUGAAACUGCUGAAAGGGAACCGAAUCGUUUCCAGUGUCUAUAAUCCGUGGCAUAUUUCAUUGGCGAGUGUGCGCGUGCGUGUGCUGUGGCAGUGGCUUUUUUGGCUGCGCUCGGUGUGUGUGCUGUGUGUGCUUGCUGGUGCCCUGUGCUGCGGUGGGACGUCAAGGUCAGUUCGUAUGCUGCGGGAAAUGGCUGCCGAGGAGGUAGGGCUUACGCUCCGCGUUUGUCUGUUAUAUCUUGGUGGACGAGUCGUCGCGGUUGGGACUGAGGUGCCUACAACGUGCUUUUGAGUGGGUUUGUGUCUCCGUGUGCGCCGUGUGCGGAUAGCUUGCUAUGCGUGUGUGGUUGUGUGUGGAUUGAUGCGGGCUUUAACUUGUCGCCGUUCGGGACGUUGACGAAAUGGAGCGAUCCGACCCGCUUUAAACACACCCCGACAACAA